rnacentral:rRNA from 1 species
UACGAAGGGGGCUAGCGUUGUUCGGAAUUACUGGGCGUAAAGGGCGCGUAGGCGGCCAUCUAAGUCAGACGUGAAAUCCCCCGGCUUAACCUGGGAACUGCGUCUGAUACUGGACGGCUUGAGUGCGGGAGAGGGAUGUGGAAUUCCAGGUGUAGCGGUGAAAUGCGUAGAUAUCUGGAGGAACACCGGUGGCGAAGGCGGCAUCCUGGACCGACACUGACGCUGAGGCGCGAAAGCUAGGGUAGCAAACGGG